rnacentral:rRNA from 1 species
UACCCGUGAGGGAAAGUUGCAAAGAACUUUGAAGAGAGAGUUCAAGAGGGCGUGAAACCGCUUAGAAGCAAACAGAUGGACCUGAUGUAGAGUUGUUGGAAUUCAGCUCAAUGUGUCACCUCAGCCUGGUGUUCAAUGAAACCAUGAGUUUCGAGGUACUGGUGUGGCCAUAGAGUGCAAUUUUCAGCGAUGCGCACUGGAACCCAUGUUGGUGCUGGAUAUGCGUUUGUGAGUGCCGACCAAGUUCGCUUGGUGUCCCGUCACUUUCUGAAACCAAGUUGCUGGCAUGGGAGUUCUGUAGAUACCCGCCUCUACUCGAUGCCGUGGAAAGCCUUGCUAUUUGAACUGUAGUUUUAUGCUCGCAUGACUCUGCGAUGCCUGGCUUGGUGAUCUGCGAUUGUUGAGUUGGUGUCUAAUUCUGGUGUUUUUGUCAGUCACCCAUCUGACCCGUCUUGAAACACGGACCAAGGAGUCUAACAUGUGCGCGAGUCACUGGGUUGCAACACCCAAGGGCGCAAUGAAAGUGAAGUCCAGUUCAGCUGGCUGACGUGGGACCCUUUAGCAUUGCUAGAGGUGCACCAUGGUCCUGUCUAUACUGCACUGUCAGUUGGGCGGAGAUUGAGCGUACACGUUGGGACCCGAAAGAUGGUGAACUAUGCCUGAGCAGGAUGAAGCCAGAGGAAACUCUGGUGGAGGUCCAUAGCGAUUCUGACGUGCAAAUCGAUCGUCGGACUUGGGUAUAGGGGCGAAAGACUAAUCGAACCAUCUAGUA